rnacentral:rRNA from 1 species
GACGAACGCUGGCGGCGUGCCUAAUACAUGCAAGUAGAACGCACGGUUUAUACCGUAGCUUGCUACACCAUAGACUGUGAGUUGCGAACGGGUGAGUAACGCGUAGGUAACCUGCCUGGUAGCGGGGGAUAACUAUUGGAAACGAUAGCUAAUACCGCAUAAUAUUAAUUAUUGCAUGAUAAUUAAUUGAAAGGUGCAAUUGCACCACUACCAGAUGGACCUGCGUUGUAUUAGCUAGUAGGUGAGGUAACGGCACACCUAGGCGACGAUACAUAGCCGACAUGAGAGAGUGUACGGCCACACUGGGACUGAGACACGGCCCAGACUCCUACGGGAAGCAGCAGUAGGGCAUCUUCGGAAAUGGACGAAAGUCUGAACGAGCAACGCCGCAUGAGUGAAGAAGGUUUUCGGAUCGUAAAGCUCUGUUGUAAGGGAAGAACGGGUGUGAGAGUGGAAAGUUCACACUGUGACGGUAUCUUAUCAGAAAGGGACGGCUAACUACGUG